UUUAAAAAGUCACAGGUGAUAUCCUACAAUAUAGUGGUGGUGGUCUGAGGAGGCAUACUCAGAGGAACUGUUUUUUUCUAUUCCAUCAUAGGUCUCGUCAUGGGGAGGUUAUGUGUUCCUGAUCAACUUAAUUCCUCUCCACGUCCUGGUGCUGAUGCUCACAGGCCGUUUCUCUCACCGGAUCUAUGUGGCCUACUGUACUGUUUACUGCCUGGGCACUAUACUUUCUAUGCAGAUCUCCUUUGUGGGUUUCCAGCCUGUCCUUUCAUCAGAGCACAUGGCAGCCUUUGGGGUCUUUGGUCUCUGCCAGAUCCAUGCCUUUGUGGAUUACCUGCGAAGCAAGUUGAAUCCACAACAAUUUGAAGUUCUUUUCCGGAGCGUCAUCUCUCUGGUAGGCUUUGUCCUUCUCACCGUGGGAGCUCUCCUCAUGCUGACAGGUAGGGAAGGCUCACAGCUGUUUUUUCUUUUUUCUUUUUUUUUAAGAUGGAGUUUCGCUCUUGUUGCCCAGGCCGGAGUGCAGUGGUGCGAUCUCGGCUCACUGCAACCUCCACCU
rnacentral:sRNA from 1 species